UUCUGUAUUGUUCUCUUAAGGUUAGCAUAAGUGGUCCGUCAAUACGACGGUCGAACACGGCAGUCAAUAGUACUCGCCGGGGUUUCACAGUUCCUAACAGUGGGUUGAGCAACACAGAGGCAAAGAGGCCCGAAUCGCUCCCUUUACCUGGAAUAUGAACCCUUGCUUGUAAACACGACUGUCGUCUAGACUUAGUCAACACGACCCUCCGCUCGUGAUAGCUUU
rnacentral:lncRNA from 1 species